rnacentral:rRNA from 1 species
AACGAACGCUGGCGGCAUGCCUAACACAUGCAAGUCGAACGAGACCUUCGGGUCUAGUGGCGCACGGGUGCGUAACGCGUGGGAACCUGCCCUUAGGUUCGGAAUAACUCCCCGAAAGGGGUGCUAAUACCGGAUAAUGUCUUCGGACCAAAGAUUUAUCGCCUUUGGAUGGGCCCGCGUUGGAUUAGCUAGUUGGUAGGGUAAAAGCCUACCAAGGCGACGAUCCAUAGCUGGUCUGAGAGGAUGAUCAGCCACACUGGGACUGAGACACGGCCCAGACUCCUCCGGGAGGCAGCAGUGGGGAAUAUUGGACAAUGGGCGAAAGCUUGAUCCAGCAAGGCCGCGUGAGUGUUGAAGGCCUUAGGGUUGUAAAGCUCUUUUACCCGGGAGGAUAAUGACAGUACCGGGAGAAUAAGCUCCGGCUAACCCCGUG